rnacentral:misc_RNA from 1 species
UUUUCGUAGGUGAACCUGCGGAAGGAUCAUUAUUGUAUAACCGAGGUGCGAGGGCUGUCGCUGACCCGAAAGGUCGUGCACGCCCGAGUGCCCUCACACGCAUCCAUCUCACCCCUAUGUGCACCACCGCGUGGGUCCCCCUUUGGCUUGUUCGGAGGGGGGCUUACGUUUUCACACAAACUUUGUAUGCAGUGUAGAAUGUAUUUUUUGUUUUUGCGAUCACGCAAUCAAUACAACUUUCAACAACGGAUCUCUUGGCUCUC